rnacentral:rRNA from 1 species
AUUGAACGCUGGCGGCGUGCUUUACACAUGCAAGUCGGACGAGUGGCGAACGGGUGAGUAACGCAUCGGCACGUACCGAGUCAUGGGGGAUAACUGUCCGAAAGGACAGCUACUACCGCAUAUUAUUCGAGCGGCCGUUGGCUGAUUGGCUGGUUGGCGGGGUAUAGGCCCACCCAGGCGAAGAUGAGUAGCGGGUCUGAGAGGAGGAUCGGCAACACUGGGACUGAGACACGGCCCAGACUCCUACGUGAGGCAGCAGUGGGGAAUUUUCGACAAUGGGCGAAAGCCUGAUCGAGCCAUGCAGCGGGUCUGAAGAAGGCUGUCGGGUUGUAAAGGACUGUUGUCAGGGAAGCGGUACCUAAAGAGUAAGCAACGGCUAACUACGUGCCAGCAGCCGCGGUAAUAC